rnacentral:lncRNA from 1 species
UGUCUAACCUUGUUAUCUUCUGUCUGCCCCAGUGUCAAGUAUAUAAGUAAAUAAUCAUUACAAUUAUUAGUACUACAGCUCAAAAUGAGAUUAACUCUGCACUUUAAAAAUUAGCUUUACCAAUAAGCUCAUUGCACAUUUUAUUAAUUUUUAAAAACUUGAAGAUUGAAAGGUUUUGGUUGUUGUGUGAGAUUUAUCAUCUCAGUUUCUCCAAGUGUGCUGCAAAAAUCGAAAGCAACUUUCCUACUCAGCCGUUUACAUUAGUCACCUAUUUAUUAAAAAACACUGUACUAAGCACUUGGGAAAGUAUAAUCAAUACAAAACACAUGUUCCCGGCCUUCUAAGGAGUUUAAAAUCUAAUCAAGGAGCUUAAUCAAAGAAACUUUUAGGAAUUACUGGAGUUUUUUAAAUGUAUUUGUUUAUAUUUAUUAUACUCAUACCAUAUUAAUUUGAUUUUAUAUUAUUCAGGAAUGAAAAAAAGGAAAUUCUUUUCAAGCAGAAGGCGAAAGAGAAAAUAAAUGAAAAGAGAAAGCAAGAAAUAGAGAAGGCUGCAAAAGAAGAUAAAGACAGACAGGCAUUAGAUGAAUAUGAAAGAUGGCUGGAAAGGAAAGAAAGUACUGAAAAAAAACAAAGGAAGUUUCAAGUUCUUCCUGAAAAUAAGACACCUCCUCCUUGGAACCCUCCAAGCAAAAUUGUAUCAUCAAGAAAUUCUUGAGAUAAAAAUCUGAUGUUGGUGCUGCUGUUUAACAAUAACUAUUUUAAAAUGUAUCUGUGAGCAGGUCUUGCAUCUUUCAUUUUAGAAUGGACAUUUUAUUUAAACUGCAGGCAGACGUUUACAUUCCUAAGCAUCUUUAUCAAACUGAAAUCCUCACAGCACUGAUGCUCUGUAAAGGGUCAACCUAAGUGAUUGGCGGCUACACAUGGAGAAUUUCACAUGUAAACAGCAUGGACUCCCUUGUCUCUUUUCCACUGUUUUUGGAAGGGGGCUGCUGCCAUGUGCUCCCAUUCUUAAACAGGGGUACCCAGGGAUUCAGCUGAGUGCAAGAUAGAAGACAUGAUCAUGAGGGGACAAUUGUUCCCUGCUUCAGAAUUCCCUCUUCCUCCUUUCCAAAUGAUGGUUCAAAGUGGUCCUCAAGCUCCUGUACUAUUGUAAAAGACUGUGCAGUUCAGUCGGUGUGCUCUGGGUAAUAAUUAACAUCAAAAAUUAAAAGCAAAGACACAUUUUUCUAAUCCACACACAAGUCCUUUAAGCCCAACUUGUUUUGGCUUAAGGGCUUUGUUCUUAGCUAAUGUUUAUAUCUGUGACCCAUUUAGUGAAAUUUUAGUAGUGUAGAAGUAAUGCACUCAACCGAGAGUGAAAUGUUUUUGAGGCAUUAUAAUCUUAAAGGUGCUAUUAAUAUUGUGGAUGAAUAGUACAGUCUGAUCUGUUUUUAAACUACAGUUCCAUGUAUUAGACAUUGCUACAUUUUUUCCUUCUAAAUAAGCUUAAUUUGCCCAAAUCUUCGUGAAUCUGUUUACUAUGCAAAGUGAAGUAACAAUGAUGGGCACGAUUACUCUUAAAUCCCUAAAAUAGUCUCACGAAAGCAUUUUAUUUUACUGUGUCUCUCUUCCUUGAGGGAAUCAGAUAUAAGAAGUCACUGAAUGUAUGUAAACCUUUUGCUGUUGGCUUAAGAAGCAAUCAUAAACCUUAUAAAAUGGCCCCAAGUCCUUUCAAAAAUACACUAUAUUCAAUUCCCUAUAAAAUGGAGCCUGUGUUCUUUCAAAACCCCAUAUUAAGGUAAACUAACAUUGUAAUACUCACCACAUCUGACACCACAAGAGUAUGAACAAGUCAUUUCUUCCAAUUUUACCCUGCAA